UCUAAAAGAGAAGAAAAGAGAGGAGUUUUCUGCAAUAUCUUAGUAAAAAUCCAAGUAGUGUCAUGAGAGUACGGAAUAUAUGAAGUUCGCAAGAGUCCGAAGAUUGAAGUGCUUUGACUUCAUAUUAUAAAUUGUUGAAUCCUGGGAGACGGACGCCUACUGAACUACAAGCACAAGAGUAGGGCGAAAUUCUGUCUUUAGGACAUUGCAUGCAUUUAUGCAAGCCUCAAUCUCCAAGUUUGUUAGUUUUUCUAACUUUCUCUUUUGUUGUUUAUAUUAAUCUCAUACAUAAUUGAUGUUGUGAAUUUCUUUAUGAUUAUUAUUAUUAUUGUAAUUCUUGCAUUAUUUUCAUAUUUUCUAAUAUUGCUCCAACAAUCUAAAGACAAAUUUUUUAUUAUUUGGAACAAUUAGAAAUAUGAUAGUAUGCAAUUUAAUAGGUAGAGAUGUAGCGUUAACCUUGUAGAGUUAUUCUCAUAAAAUUGUGGUAAUGAUAUUUACCUCUCUCACUCAUGUCCGAGUAGGCCUGGCAAUUCCUGACACGACUCGAUAACCCAACACGACACGACACGAAAUUAACAGGUGUUCGGGUCGACACGAUAACGAAACGGGUCGUUAUCGGGUAACCCGAUAAGCACCUGUUAAUAAUUUUAUAACCCUAAAAAAAUACUAUAAUAAUUAUAUAUAUUAAUUUAACAAUUUUAUUGACACACCCCGUCCCGAAGGAGGGCAUGCUGGCCGUCACGUGAGAGUGACGUAACCAUUUGCACAGUACGGAAGCUUUAAUUAUACAAUUUAUAAGUGACGCAUCUUAAUCCCGUUUAAGGGCGUUUCUGUAAUUUCACGUCAUCGGAAUUAAAAUUCCGGGACGGGCUGUGACAAUCUCCCCUCCUUAUAGAAUUUCGUCCCCGAAAUUCCAGUCACCAACCAUAACAUCAAAACUCAUAGAAUAGUCUCGGAUACAUAUCUCUCAUCCUUUCUUCCGUCUCCCAAGUAGCUUCUUCAGCUGAAUGAUUUCUCCACAAUACUUUUACCAAGCUCACGGUCUUAUUCCUCAAAGUCUUAUCUUUCCAAUCCAGUAUAGUCACUGGUUCCUCAAAAGUGUUGUACUAGGUUGAAUAAAACUUUUAUCAACCAAUUCCCUCAACUGAAUUUCCAAUUCCCUUAACUCAUCAUGAACCAAUCUCCAAUAUAAAUUUAUACCUGGCAACAAAUCAAUAGUGAACCUCAUAUCUCUGCCUGAAGGCAAUCCAGGUAUACUUUCAGGGAAGACAUCAAGAAAAGUCUAACUCUUUCGACAUUAUUCACACUACUCCAAACAACAUCAUUUAGCACCACAUGAGCUAAGUAUUUUUGACAGCCUUUCGAAAACAAUCUCUUUGCUCUCACAGCAUAAAUAAUGGCUGAACUCAAUCCACUUUGCAUACUUACCAAAAGUAAUCUCUGGUCUCCAUUCGAUGGAAAGUACUGGUUUCCCUUAACAUUCCGUCUUGUCACAAUUAUAACCAACCAAUCUAAUGGAAAUAAUUUAAACCGACACAAUACAUACUCUAUUACU
rnacentral:lncRNA from 1 species